GACGAACGCUGGCGGCGUGCUUAACACAUGCAAGUCGAACGGUAAGGCCCUUUCGUGGGUCCGCUAGUGGCUAACGGGUGGGUAACACGUGGGUGAUCUGCCCUCCACUUUGGGGUAAGCCUGGGAAACUGGGUCUAAUACCAGCUAGGACUACGCGAUGCAUGUCGUGGGGUGGAAAGCUUUUGCGGUGUGGGAUGGGCCCGCGGCCUAUCAGCUUGUUGGUGGGGUGAUGGGCUACCAAGGCGACGACAGAUAGCCGGCAUGAGAGGGUGUCCGGCCACCAUGGGACUGAGAUACGGCGCAGACUCGUACGGGAGGCAGCAGUGGGGAAUAUUGCACAAUGGGCGCAAGCCUGAUGAAGAGACGCCGGGUGGGGGAUGACGGCCUUCGGGUUGUAAACCCCUUUAAGCAAAGACGGAGCGUAAGUGACGGUAUGUGAAGAAGAAGCACCGGCUAACUACGUG
rnacentral:rRNA from 1 species